rnacentral:rRNA from 1 species
CCUACGGGGGGCAGCAGUGAGGAAUAUUGGUCAAUGGGCGGGAGCCUGAACCAGCCAAGUCGCGUGAGGGAAGACGGUCCUAUGGAUUGUAAACCUCUUUAGGCGGGGAGCAAUGCCGGGCACGCGUGCCCGGAGGGAGAGUACCCGCAGAAUAAGCAUCGGCUAACUCCGUGCCAGCAGCCGCGGUAAUAGGGGGGAUGCGAGCGUUAUCCGGAUUUAUUGGGUUUAAAGGGGGCGUAGGCGGGUUUUUACGUCAGCGGUAAACUGUCCGGGCCAAACCCGGACCGGCAGUUGAGACUGGGGAUCUUGAGUGCGCGAGAAGUAUGCGGAAUGCGUGGUGUAGCGGUGAAAUGCAUAGAUAUCACGAAGAACUCCGAUUGCGAAGGCAGCAUACCGGCGCCCGACUGACGCUGAGGCGCGAAAGCGUGGGGAUCGAACAGGAUUAGAUACCCGAGUAGUC